CACGUAGGGGGCAAGCGUUGUCCGGAUUUAUUGGGCGUAAAGAGCUCGUAGGCGGUUCGGUAAGUCGGGUGUGAAACCUCCAGGCUCAACCUGGAGACGCCACCCGAUACUGCUGUGACUUGAGUUCGGUAGGGGAGUGGGGAAUUCCUGGUGUAGCGGUGAAAUGCGCAGAUAUCAGGAGGAACACCGGUGGCGAAGGCGCCACUCUGGGCCGAAACUGACGCUGAGGAGCGAAAGCGUGGGUAGCAAACAGG
rnacentral:rRNA from 1 species